AUCCCUCCGUGAACUGAACCGGACAUCUACCUGCCCACCGUCCAACUGAGAAUUCAAUAAACCGCUACCACAACUAGAACCAUUACAAUCUGAUGAUUCCUGUUCUGGAUAAUCUGAUGACUGCACAGCCGAGACAGACGUGUCAUUCCGUCCAUCAAAGCCAUCACCCCGUCGAUUGAGUUCUGCAAGCCGUCGAGUUUCUGCCUCAACAGAAUCUUCGACCAUUUUUUCUGCAACAUGAUUUCUGUAACAAGAAAUCGAAUGGUCCCUUCCCUGAGGUUCAGGGACCAAACCAAUAUUUUCUGCAACAUGAUUCCUAGUAGAAACCAAAUUUACUUUUUCUGCAACAUGAUUUCUAUUAGUAUCUUCUGCAACGUGACUUCUUUUAGAAGUCAAAUUUUGACAAGAUUGAUCACCAUCGCUGGUGGAAACACCAAGCUUCUUGUCCCGUUUUCUCUUAGUAGAAACAACACCAAGCGUCUUCGUCUCCCGUUUUCUCUUAGUGGAAACAACACCAAGCGUUUUCUUCUCCCGUUUUCUUUCAAGGCGACACACAACAAAGUCCUUCUGCAAUAACACGAACAGAGUAUUUUACAAUUAUUUUUCACGAAAAUAAACAGACUGUUUCACAACACAUAUGCAGUUCUAAAACAGAGGCUAAUACCUUAUAAUCAGGGCUAUCUUCAACAGCUAUCUCGUGUAUAACCCACUCAGUCUUAUCUUUCUCGGCAGCAGCAUCAUCGCGGGAAAAAGACAAAAUCUUCUUCGUACCAAUCACCUCAGUUUUGUAUUUGCGCUUGAUGUUAGAACCUCUGCCAGUCUUUUUCCAGUAGCCUUCCUUUGUUCUUCUAUGUACCCGUUUACUCUUGGUAUACUUAUAAUAAGGCUCACAGAAAAAGUACCACACUUCUUCCUCAGACUGAAUGUCAGAAUGCCCUGCAUCGCAACAAAAGAUUCCAUUAACUUCUGAAUUCUAGUUACUGAACUAAUUAAUUAAUCUUAAACAGACAUCGUGUAGAGUACUUGGUUUACACGAUUACUUACAGGGUAGCUCCCAGGGCUCAAAGCUGUAGAGAUCGAUUUCCUUGAUCGUACGGACGGAGAAACCUGCAGGGUCACGUCUCUUCAUCGUCAGGAGAAGAAUAAUUUCUUCAUCAGUUGGGUGGAAUCUGAACCCCACGAGACUGUCCAUUAAUUUCUGAUUCAACACACGGCAGGAGAAACGUAGAACAAGAAUGAGAGAGUAAGAGCUUCUACUAUCCAAUUUGGUCUGCAAUAAGGGGAGAGCCAUGGGAUGUGGUUAUAUAGGCAGCAGAAAGGCUUGACUUAAUUUCUACGCGAUGUGCUACAGUGCCAGGGGAAGUAAGGUUCGUGGAAACAAUGGUUGUGAUAUUUGUGAAAUGUAGAAUUGUAUUUUUUCAAAAAGAAAUUAAUAAUUUUUUAAAGAAAUAAAGUUGGCCAAAAGUAUAAUAAUAAGUGACACCAUCGGGUUUAAAUAUAGGGAAAAAGACAUUCAACCCCCUACGUUUAAGAAAAUGGAUAAAAAAUUUCUCAAUAUUUUAAAAAAGAUUUAUAAAUUUUUUUUUGUUAUCAAACACGGUUUAUUUUAACAGUAAAUUUAUUUUUAAUUUUUAAUUAUUAUUAUACCCUUAUAAUAAAAAAAUUAAUAUAUUAAUUUAAGAUAUAUCACAAUUUUUUAUAAAUUUUAAAUUGAGAUACAAUUAUUUUUUUGCCAAAAUUAUUUACUAUAAAUUAUACAUUUCUAACAAUAAUAAUAUCAUUUUGAUUCCUCAAAGAAAAAUGGUUUAAUCAAAUUUCGUUUUAUUAAUAAUAAUCACAUAUGAAAGUUUUGAUCAUUAGAAAUGUAUAAUUUAUAGCAAAUAAUUUGGAAAAAAAUGUAAUUGUAUCUCAAUUUUUAGUUUUAAAAAAAUUAUUAAUUGUGACAUGUCUCAAAUCAAUAUAUUAAUUUAUAUUUAUUAUAAGAGUAUAAUAGUAAUUAAAAAUUAAAAAUAAAUUUACUGUUAAAACAAACGAUGUUUAUUAACGGAAAUGAGGUUAUAAGUCCUUUUUGAAACGUUGAGGAAUUUUUUAUCCCCUUUUUUAAACGUUGGGGGGUUGAAUGUCCUUUUCCCUUAAAUAUAUUAUGUUAUAUCAGAUUUAAAUACAACACUUAAAUUCUGGAAGAAUCUAAGACUCAAGUGACCAAUAUUUUUAUGACAGUAAUAACAACAUAUAUUAAAAAAGUGAACUAUCAAUACUAUCAAUUUUUUACAAUUAAAAGAAAAAAAAUGUUUUACAUAGUAGAUCUAAUAAGGUCUGAUUGAAAAAAAAAUGCAACAUAGUGCUAAUAAAUGAAACACAACAUAAUCACCCAAUCAUAAUAAAAAAUCUCAAAUUAAAUAUCUGUAAGUUUAAUGAACUAACAAAAUACUAAAAAGGUAAAAUAAAAUAAAAUAAAAGUUCAUCCGGUAGAAUCUUAUUAUUUUUUCCAAAAACAAGAGUAAAGUUUAUCCGGUUUUCGUGGUACCCAAGUAGCCUAAGACCCCACAAGGCCAUCGCCACUUUCCUUUUUGACUCUGCUUUUACAGUUACGCGUCACCCUCCCUGCUUCAUCACAAAUCACAAUCCAGCUACAGAAAAUCUAGAAUUUUCUGCUACUUUGAUUUAAAGCACUCUAUUUAUAAUUUAUGGGGCUUUGCUAGCUUACAGAUUCUGUAAGCUACAGACUGCAUCAGCCGUUGGAUGUGGAGUGAGAAAUAAAACAAUAGAAAAUGGGAUAGUAGGAUGGUGGGAGAUGUUAGCCCAUUUUUACCAUAACACUAAAACUAACACUAAAUUAUAUUUUAUAUUAUUUUAGUGUAAAAUAUUUUUUUAAUAUAAUACCAAAAUCAAUUUUAAAAUAGUGUUAUGUUUAAUAUUGUACUAAAUAUGGUAUAAAACUAUUCAUUUGAUGUUAGAAAAAAAAAUCUCAAAUAUUCUUAUUAUUAUCUUUUAUUUACAUAUAUGUCCUAUUUUAUAUAAUAUUUUAAAUUAUUAUUAUUAUUUUUUUAUUUUUUUUAUUUUUUUUUUAAUUUUUGAUUAUUAUACUAAUAAUUUAAAUAAAAAAUAUUCAACACAAAAAUUAAUAAUAAAAAUAAAAUGCCAAUAACAUUAAUUACUAGAUUACAUAUUACAAAAUAAAAUUAACAUAAAUUAAAAAAGCUACUACUACUAGCAUAAAUUGGAACAAUUAUUUAAUAAUCUGGGAGAUCAUUAUUAGAUCUUCUAAUAUCAUCAAAAUAUUGGCCAAUAUUAUUGGCAAUAUUUUGAGAUGAUUGGCCUUACUGAGAUAUUCUCUGCAAAAUCUUAAUUUGUUCAUUUUGAAAAAUAUUGACGUAAGUUAGGAUCACUUAUCGAAUUUAAAUUUUUAAGUAAAAUUUUAUUUUCUUCACGAUGUGACCAUCUCCAAUUUUUUUUUCUCAUUUUGGGCUCGUAUCAUUUGAAUUUAAUAAUUUUAUUGCCUAUCUUCACUACCUUUUUUAAGAAUUUCAUGAAGUUGUCGAUUGUCUUCUUUAAUAGUAUCAAUAACUAGUGAAUUUUGAUCUUCAACUUUCCUUUUUCCUUUUGCCUUCUUUACUCCAAUGGGUCGUUGAGUAGAACAAUCGUCAACAUGCUCAUCAUUUAUAUUUAGUGAAAAUGAUAAUAGACCAAGAGAUGCUGAUGUUGGAGACUCCGGAGCGAGAGAAUCUGAUUGUGAUGACACAAAUUCGCUACUUUGCCUUCGAAAGCAUGGUGUUGCGAUGCUAUGAUCAUCUCCAAAAUUUUCAAUAUCUUUAAGGAUAGGCCAUACAUGAUCAAAUUUGAACCCUUUAUUGUAUUUCUUAUCUUGUGCCAGUAACACAUUCGCUCGAUUUAGCUACAGAAUAAUGUAAUUAGAAUGUUAUAUAUAAAAUAAGUGUAAGAUAAAAAUAGUAAAGAUGUAAUAUAAGUUUACAAUAUCUUGUUCAGAAGCACCGCUUGGAUUUUGAUUUUCAAUUUGUUGAACGCAUCCCCUCAGUUUGCCAAUUGCAGCUAGAAUACUUUGCAUUUGUUUUUGCAAAGAUAUUCGUGGUCGAACUUGAGUGGUGAACUCCAGUUUAGAAUUAUUGUAUUCAAUUUCAACUCGAGACCAAAAUGCAUCUCGAGAUUGAUUUAUACCAACAAUAGGGUUUUGGGAAAUAUCAAGAUAUAUAUGACAUAAGUGUAUAUCUUCUUCAUGGGUGUAUGAAGUACUUCUUGGAGUUAGAGCCAUUUUAUAGAAUAAAUGGUUGAAGAGAUAUGUUUGAGUGAAGUGAAGUUUACAAUGGUAUUUAUAGAUGAAAAAGAAACAUAUCUAAUAGAUGAAAAUAAGUGAAAUCCAUCCAACAAUUGGUAUUGAAUAUGAGAGAAUCAUUAUUUUUAAAUUUUGAAUAAUGUGUAGAUAUGAUAAAAUUGGGUAAAAGUUAAUCUAAUUGAUGAAAAUAAGUGAAAUCCAUCCAACGGUUGGUAUUGAAUAUGAGAGAAUCAUUAUCUUUAAAUUUUGAAUUAUGUGUAGAUAUGAUAAGAUUGGGUAAAAGUAAAUCUAUUAUAAAAAUGAUAUAUUUAUGUGUACUAAAGCUCAUUCAAUUUACAUAUCUUUGAAAAUGAAUUUCAAUAUUGGAAGUUCAUCUCAGCACUUAUCAUAUUCUUCAUCUUCUUCAAAUUCUGAUGUUGAAAAUGAUGAUGAUGUAAACCUAAUAAAUGAUAUUGAGGCGAUCAAUGUACAUGAAGAAGUGAUAAUUAGCAUGACUUCAAACAACAAUAUUUGCAUGGUUUACUAUCUCAAUCAACUAAACAACAAAGUGAUCCAUAAUGGUUCAGUUACAGGUCAUUUAAUAAUCAACCGCAAUCAUGAAAUGGCUAAUCGUAAUCUGUUCAACGACUACUUCUCAAAGAACCCGCGUUUCAAUGAUUCAAUGUUUUGCCGUCGAUUUAGAAUGUCUCAAAGUUUAUUCAAUCGUAUUACUAAUGCCGUACAAGGUCAUGACAACUAUUUUAUGCAGCAAAGGGAUGGCGUCGACAGACUUGGGUUAUCUGGUCUUCAAAAAAUCACUGUUAUAUUUCGGAUGUUGGCAUAUGGCAUGCCAAUAGAUGCUAGUGAUGAGUAUAUUAAAAUUGGAGAGUCUACAACAAUUGAAAGUUUAAAGAUAUUCUGUCGUGCAAUUGUGGAAGUUUUUGCAGAGCAAUAUCUUAGAUCACCCAACACUAAUGACGCCGCUAGGCUACUCCAUGUUCGUAAAGAGUGUGGUUUUUCAGGAAUAUUAGGCAGCCUAGAUUACAUGCAAUGGAAGUAGAAAAGUUAUCCAACAGCUUGGGCCGGACAAUAUGCUGGUCGUAGUGGAACCCCAACUAUUUAUUCUGGAGGCUGUAGUUUAUUAUGAUAUUUGGAUAUGGCAUGCACAUUUUGGUUUGCCUGGUUCAAAUAAUGACAUUAAUGUAUUGGAGGCAUCCCAUCUUUUUGCCAACCUCGCUUCAGGUAUUACUCCUCCUGCUCAUUAUUCAUUAAAGGGAAUGAAUAUAAUAUGGGUUAUUAUUUAGCUGAUGCUAUCUACCCAAAAUGGUCUACUCUUAUACAAACGAUCCAUGAUCUACGUGGUCCUAAAAAGAAAUUAUUUGACAUGAGAUAAGAAGCAUAUCAGAAAGAUGUAAAACGUGCAUUUGAAGUCCUUCAAUCUCAUUUUGCAAUUGUUGCUGGACCAUUACGUUUUUGGAACAAACAUGAGUUACAUGAUAUAAUGACUGCCUGCAUUAUUAUACACAAUAUGAUAAUCGAAGAUGAACGUGAUGUUAAUGCAACAAUUAAUGAUUGGAUGCAAGCGCCAAUACCAACCGUUGCUAUGAGGGUAGAUGAGAAUAUUAGAUUUCAAGAAUUUCUUGCUCGACACAAACAAAUCAAGGAUAAAGAGGCUCACACUGCACUCUGAAAUCCACUAAUUGAUCAUUUAUGGAUAAAUUUAGUAAUUCGAAUAACUAAAGUAUUAUUAUUGUUAUUGUAUUUUUCUAUAUUAAUUUAUUGUUUAAUUUUCAGAAUGUACUAAUUAAGUUAAUUAAAUGCAAAUUUAAUAAUUUUCUAUAUAUUUUUUUGUUAAUCGAUUAAAAUUACUUAUUACUUAAUUAUCUAUAUUAAUAGUAAUAUUUAUUGUGUUAAUUAAAUUAAUUCUUGAGAAUUAAAAGAAUAAAAAGAAGAAUAUUCUUUUUAGUGUAAAUAGGUUGGAGAUGAAAUAAUAAUUUGGUGUGAAAAAGGUACAUUUUUUGUGUUGGUGUUACACCAAAAUAGUAUUAAGCAUUGGAGAUACCCUUAGUCACAGAGCUGCACCGUAGACAGGUUUUAAUUUAUGAUUAAUGUUUUAUUAUUUUCUUGUAACAUAAUAUUUAUUUCACAUACUAUUAAUUAUUUGAUAAUGUAGAAAAAUAUAUUAAUUUACUACUAAUAAUAAAGUGUUAGUUUAUCAAUUCGUAAAAUCAUUCUGUUCAUUUGAACAAGAAUUUUGUACUUUUAGUUGAGUUUUUGUCCUUAAAUAAAAAGAAUAAAUCUUAACAAUUACUCUAUUUGAAAAUAAUUUAAAUAUUUCUUUUUUUGUAAUUAAAAAUAAGAGUAAUAAUUUUGUUUUAUUAUUUUCUUUCUAUAUUGAAAAUAAUUUUAAUUACCUUUUAAUAUUAAUCAUUUUAGGAAAUUAAAUAAAAAAUAAGAAUUUUUUAUGUAAAACACAUUAAUUAGUUUUUCAUAUUAUAAAAUACAUAGUGAUUUAUAAUAAAAAUUAAAUAUCCAUGUCUACCCUUAAAUAACCAUAUUCAUAUUGGAUAAUUAUGUUUUUACACAUAGAUGGCUAAUAAUUAUAGCCAUCUAAAUUUUGUCAUCCUUAAUUAACAAGGAUAUGACCAAUUAAAUAAUUAUGUCAAACUUACCAUUCAAUUUUGUUUUGUGUUAUAUUCUUGUCGGAUUAAUGGUUAAGUGAUGGAAAACACAAAACAACACCAUGGCCAUGACCAAUUUUUUUAUUUUUUAGAUUGAUAGUGAAAUGGAUUUCUUUUUUUUUUUCCCUCUUCAAUUCUAGCAAAUUAUGCAUUUGUUUCUUUAUGUAUAUUGCAAAAAAAAAAAAAAACUUAUAUUGUCCAAAUGACAAGUAUGUGAUGCCAUAAUAUUGUGUUCAUAUCAACAUCUUCAGAAGGUGCUUCUGAAAUAGAUUGUAGCUUCCAAAAGCAUCACAGCAAUUGAAAAAUUUUAGGUGCAGGACUAAUAUGUGAAAAUAAAAAAGUCUUUAGCCUUUUUCAAAACAAAUAAAUGGACUCUACUAUAAUUGACAUUGAAAAAGGCAAAAAAAAGGGUACGAAACUUUUGUGGCAAUAUAGUUUUGACCAUAAAAAAGGGAAUUAUCAAUAAGAUUAAUUCUUUAAAAUUAAAAAAAAUUCAACAUACUAAGAUCUAACAAAGUUCAAUCGCCACUUGGGCUUUAAUCCAUUGAUAAAUCACUACUCUCAAAGUUAAGAAGGACUAUAAGAGUAGUGGUUCGAAUCACUAUACGCUCAAUUUUUUUCAAUUAAGUAAACAAUUAUGUGGAAUUAAUUUGUAAAUUUUUCUCCUUUACAAAAUACAAAUAGAGUAUAGGCAUCCCUUGUAUGUGAGGGUCAUAUGUAUGAACAUGUAUUUUAUAGAAUUAAUGUAAUAAUAUAAGUUCCAAACUAUAUAUCUGAUUAUAAAUAUCAAUAUAAUGUCUGUUCUAAUAAUAAUUGUAAAUAUAUGUGUAAUAUAGGAAUCUGAUAUGUACUCAGUAUUAAAAAAAAAAAACAAAAUCUAAUCGAGAAAAACCUCAACAUAGCGCUAAUAAAUAAAACACAAUAUUAUCACCGGAUCAUAAUAGAAGAACUCAAAAGUAAAUAUCUAUGAAAAAAUUCAAAAGUAAAUAUCUAUGAAUUUAAUGAACUAACAAAAUACAAAAAAAAAAAAAUCAUAAAAAAUCAAUAAAAACACAAAAAAAUCACUAGAAAAUUCUCACACAAAAUCCUCAUCUUAGGUCAUUGGAAAUUUGACAUACCACUAUUAAAAUCCAUCUACCACUCCAAAACAAGCAUAACCUUUAGGCAUUAGAGUGACAUCAACAAAGGACAUAAUGCUAGAGCCUAGAAGCUUCUACUUCUUUCACAAGUAGUUAAUAAUUCACGUCAGCAUAUGACUCAAGGGACAUUUAAUUUGAUGUAGCAAAAUGAGGCAGAUGACUCAUCUCAUACCAGAAUCCGCCUCAAGCAGAGAGGUUAACAUCAUUCAAAUGGUAGUGGUCUUGACUGAUUUCUAAAUAUCUCUUUUGAAAUCAUUCAAUUAUUCGAGAUAUCGACUGAUUUUUAAAAGGUAACAAAAUUUAUUUAAUUUCUAUACUUUGAAGUUAGUAUUUUUAAAUUUUUAUAUAUUUUUAAAUUUUUUAAAAUAUCUUUAUCUUUAAAUUAUUGAUAUUCUAUUAUUAUUUUUUUAUUUUUUGACUUAAUUUUAUAAUAUUAUCCUCUUUCAGUAAUUUUUUAGACAUUAAUAAAAAAAAAUUAAACCAAUUUAACCCAAAAAUAAAAUAAAAAUAUUAUAUAUUAAUUUUUGUGAAAUAUAUUACUGAAGAGUUAAUUUAUAAUUUUUUUUAUUAAUGUUCAAAAAAUUGGUAAUUCGAUUUUUUUUUACAAGACUAAUUUUUUUGGACAUAGGUGAGCUUCCAAAAAAAAAUUAAAUAUUCUUUUUGUUUUUAUUUUAUUUUAUUUUUGGAGUUCAAUUGGUAAUUUAAUUUUUUUAUUAAUAUCUAAAAAAAUUAUUUUAAGAGGGUAAUAUUAUAAAAGUAAUCUAAAAUGAAUGGAAUGUAACGGCAUAAAUAUCAAUAGUUUAAUAACAAAAAUAUUUUGAAUUAUUUUUAAAAUUAUGGACACUAAUAUUAAAAUAUAUGGACUAAAUGAACAUUUAUCCUUUCUAAAAAUCUAUUUUAGAAUACAGUUUUGUUGGCUUGGUAUUUAUAUUUUACCAUUGAAAAAAAUAUUUCUUUGGAUAUUAGUCAGCACUUUUUAAAAUAUGUAUUUUCAGAAAUGUGUUUUCAAAAUCAGAAAUGUGUUUUCAAAAAUGUACUUUCAGAAAUGUGUUUUCAGAUUCAAUUUUAAUAAAUCUGGAAUGACCAAUUUUAUCUUCAAAAUCAUUUCACUAGCUUUCGAAUAAAUCCAUGUAGACCAUUGGAAGAGGAUUAUGAGGAGCGCAGAGUAGCUGUAGUUGUACAUCACCCAUCUUGGGGUACCAGAAACAGUCUUUAAUAUAUGUAUUCCAAUAAAUUGAAGGGUGAAAUAAGCAGUGCUCUGCGCAUUUUUAUCUCUUGUUUCUGCUUUAUUACUUGUUUCUUUAAAGUAAAUAAGUCACCUUUCUGAAGGAGCAACUUCAGUCACCCGGGAUGGGGUUCAUUUUAUCUCUUGUUUUUGCUUUUCAAUAUGUGAAAAUUAUUUAAGCUUCAAAGCCACAAUGAACUGCUUGACUAACAUCUUCGUAUUAUUUACAAGGAUGCUCGGAGAUUGUUAGAGAAGCCAACAAAAAGGUGUCAUACAUACAUGAAUGAAAUGGUUCCCAUCACAAGAAUUUUUAACAUCAUAUAUAAAUGGAUUAUGGAUCUUUUGUUUGAUAUUUCAGUUAAUCAGUAAAUUCUUUGAUGAGCAAGACUAAAUGUUUAUCUAAUAUUCCCGAUAUGUAAAAAAUACAAUCUUUUUUUUUACCUGAGAAUAAAACCACUUUCAAUUCAAAGAAGAAAAUAGGUACAUCAGUCGCGAAGGGUACGAGCCUAAAACAACAGUUUCACAUUUCUAUAGAGCUGAUUUAGCUAUAGAUUGGGCAAUAACAUUGCAAAAUCUAUGAGCAAACUGGACAGUAACAUGAUCCCCUCAUUAAGUUAUGAAUUCUAAGAUAACCCAGAAGAUCUCGGACUUGCUGCCUUGCCUUUUGUUUACAAAAUUAACAGCCUCUUGGGUGUAAAAACUACUCUCAAAGAAUACAAAGCUUGGAAUACAAUACACCAUAAGUGAAACAAUAUUACAACAUUCAUAAUGAUCUAAUAUCCUCCUUGAGGAUUUGAUAGUUCUUAACAUAUGCCACUGACGGAAGAUUGAUAGUCAAAGACUAUGUUUACCCAUUCAUUGAAGGAUUCGGUUUCAGGGUUCGCGUCACUGCCAUCCUCCACGUAAACUCCUUCAUCUGACUUUGAUUUGAAGAAGUCCGGAGUGGUCUCUCCAGUCUCCUCAGGAGAGUAUUCAUUCUGAAAAUCCCUCCGUGAACUGAACCGGCCAUCUACCUGCCCACCGUCAAACUGAGAAUUCAAUAAACCGCUACCACAACUAGAACCAUUACAAUCUGAUGAUUCCUGUUCUGGAUAAUCUGAUGACUGCACAGCCGAGACAGAGGCGUCAUUCCGUGCAUCAUAGCCAUCACCCAGUCGAUUGAGUUCUGCAAGCCGUCGAGUUUCUGCCUCAACAGAAUCUUCGACGAUUUUUUCUGCAACAUGAUUUCUGUAACAAGAAAUCGAAUGGUCCCUUCCCUGAGGUUCAGGGACCAAACCAAUAUUUUCUGCAACAUGAUUCCUAGUAGAAACCAAAUUUACUUUUUCUGCAACAUGAUUUCUAUUAGUAUCUUCUGCAACGUGACUUCUUUUAGAAGUCAAAUUUUGACAAGAUUGAUCACCAUCGCUGGUGGAAACACCAAGCUUCUUGUCCCGUUUUCUCUUAGUAGAAACAACACCAAGCGUCUUCGUCUCCCGUUUUCUCUUAGUGGAAACAACACCAAGCGUUUUCUUCUCCCGUUUUCUUUCAAGGCGACACACAACAAAGUCCUUCUGCAAUAACACGAACAGAGUAUUUUACAAUUAUUUUUCAAGAAAAUAAACAGACUGUUUCACAACACAUAUGCAGUUCUAAAACAGAGGCUAAUACCUUAUAAUCAGGGCUAUCUUCAACAGCUAUCUCGUGUAUAACCCACUCAGUCUUAUCUUUCUCGGCGGCAGCAUCAUCGCGGGAAAAAGACAAAAUCUUCUUCGUACCAAUCACCUCAGUUUUGUAUUUGCGCUUGAUGUUAGAACCUCUGCCAGUCUUUUUCCAGUAGCCUUCCUUUGUUCUUCUAUGUACCCGUUUACUCUUGGUAUACUUAUAAUAAGGCUCACAGAAAAAGUACCACACUUCUUCCUCAGACUGAAUGUCAGAAUGCCCUGCAUCGCAACAAAAGAUUCCAUUAACUUCUGAAUUCUAGUUACUGAACUAAUUAAUUAAUCUUAAACAGACAUCGUGUAGAGUACUUGGUUUACACGAUUACUUACAGGGUAGCUCCCAGGGCUCAAAGCUGUAGAGAUCGAUUUCCUUGAUCGUACGGACGGAGAAACCUGCAGGGUCACGUCUCUUCAUCGUCAGGAGAAGAAUAAUUUCUUCAUCAGUUGGGUGGAAUCUGAACCCCACGAGACUGUCCAUUAAUUUCUGAUUCAACACACGGCAGGAGAAACGUAGAACAAGAAUGAGAGAGUAAGAGCUUCUUCUAUCCAAUUUGGUUUGUGAAAUCUAGAAAGAGUCAGUGGUCAAUGAGCCGAGGAUCCGUGGAUGUGUUUAUAUAUGCAGCAAAAACGCUUGCUUAAUUUUGAAGCGAUGUGCUACUGGGUAUGAUCUUUCUAAAAUGUAGAAUAGUAUUUUUCAAAAAAAUUGAAAUUAAUAAUUUUUUUUUUUACAACUUUAGUUCUUUUAAUAAGUAUCAUUGAAAGCAAUAAAGUUGGCCGAGAGCAUAAUAACAAGUGGCAUCGUGUUUAAAUACAAUAAGUUAAAUCGGAAUUAAGGACAAAAUUACGUUGCCCCUACGUACCAAACACUUAAUUUUGAUAUUUUCUUCGGCAGCCAUAUUAUUUUUUAUAAAUAAUGAAAAUUAUAAAUUUAAAAAUCUUAUAUAAUAAACUCCAAUUAAAAUAUAAUAAUUUAAAAAUUCUAAAAAAUUUAUUUGACAUUUUCUUCGGCAGCCACUGCUAUUUUAAAAUUUUUAAAAAAAUUUAUUAUCUAUGUUUCCUUCUCAAUCAACCCAUCCUUUUUUAAAUUUUAAUUUAUUCAUUCUCAAAUGUAUAAUUCUUAUAAAAUAUAAAAAAAUAGAGAAAUUUUUAAUCACAUAAAUUAGAUUAAUUUCUUAAACACAAAACCUCAUAAAAAUAAUGCUUGCAUUCUCUUAAAAAAUAUCUAUUGUGUUUAUAUUUUCUUUUUUACCAAUGUAAUAAGAAAGGAGCUGCAUCUUACAUUCUAUAAUAAGAUAUAAACAAUUAGAACCUAUUCAAUACAGUUAAAGAUGGUGGGAUAGACUUAUUUUACUAAAAUUUAAUCAUAAUAUAGUGUUUGACAUAAAUAAGUAAACUAAAAAUAAUACAGCUUCGACCUACCAAAUUAUUAUGUGAUAAUGAUAUUUUUACCUUAAAGAGACGUCUAGGAUAAAUUUUUUACAGUAAAAUUUUUAUCUUAUGUUAACAACACGAGAUAAAAAGAUUACAUUAGAAGCCUUAAAACUUAGUUAAUCUUAAUUUUUUUGGAAAGAUAAUUCUCCCAUAAUCUAUUAAUUUAAGUUAUUAUUCACUCUUUACCAUUUUAAAUUUAAGUUUCUUUCUUUACAACUUUAAAUUUAAGUAAUAGAAUAAAUAUUAUACAAUUUAUUUGUUUUCACAUUAAGUAAAUAAUUGAGAUUAUAUUAUUAUCUCGGUUCCAUACAUGUGAUAAGGUAUGAGUAAUUUUCUAUAAUUUCAAAUUUGCAUGUAGAAAUCUAUUAUUUGAACAUAGCAUUUAUAAACUCUAUAAUGAAACUUAAAUUACCGUUCAAGUACUUAUUUAAUACUUAUUUAUUUUUCAUUCUAAUAUUGUCAUAAUUUUAUAUAAAACUUUGCUCAAUCUUGUAUUAAACUAAAUAUAAGAUACCAAUAUUGUAAUCCAAUUGGUAUUUUAAAUAAAUGGAUGUGAAGAGUAUUUUAGCAAGUUAAAAUAAUCCAUCCAUAUUUUUAAGACUUAAUUAUGUUCAUUUACUAAAUUACCCUUGAUCCAAAUAAAGAUAAUAGAAUAUUUUAAUGAACUUAUGUGUAAAAAUUUUGAAAACUAACAUUUCCUUAUAAUUUUCAGAAAAGAUGAGAGGCUGCGACGUUAAUAAUCAAGUAAUUAAAUCCUUACCGUUGGAAUAGCUUUUGAGAUGAGAAUAUUUCCAUCCCAUUAUUUUUAUAAAUCUACCCCACUUUUAAAAUAUAAUUAUGAUAAGUUCACAACAUUCUUAAGAAAUACAAAUUAAUAAAAAUUUUAUACAGUUAAUCAAUUAAAUCUUUCUAUUAAAUUUUUUCUUAGGUUUUUUACCAUCUUUGAUCAUAAAUUUUAAUAUAAAUUUUAUUUUACUAUUUUAUUAUUAUGAUAUAAAAAGAAAAAAAUUACUCUAAUAAAACAUGAGUUAUUGUAUCUAAUAAUUUAGGUAUUUAAUUUUGCGACUUAUAAUCUAAUAUUUUUAAAUAAAACCUAAUUUUUAUUUAACUACCCUUACAUGUACAUAACAUAAAUUUAACAGUCUAAUAAUUUAUAUGAGAAUUGUGCCAUAAAGACACUAUGUUAAUUUAAUUAAAAAAUAAUAAUCAUACUAAUAAAAAAUAGUAUUAGAAAUAAUGAGUUUGAUAUAAAUUAGAAAAAAAAUUGAAGUAAAAUAAAUUCUUGAUAAUUUUAUUUUAUAAGGUUAAAUAAGUCAAUUUAAACUUACGUCAAAGCAAUCUUUGUAAUCAAAUAUUCUAAAAAAAUCUAACUCAAAAAAAAUGAACUAAGAUAAAUUUAAUUAAUUAAUUCUCCAAAGUUCUUAAUUUAAAAAUUUUAAAAAUAAUGUGUAACUUUUAUAAUUAUUUUUUGAAAAUAGGGUGGAUUUACAAAAAAUGUGGGGUGGAAAUAUCAUCACUCUAGCUUUUACAACUCUUGUGUUGAAUCUAAUGAAUAGAUUACAAAAAGACAAGAAAAUAAGGUAUCAAAUUACGGUUGCAUAAUAGCUGGACCCAAUUUUAAGUACAACACUUAAAUUUGUUAUGGAAGAACCUAAGACUUUAAUCAGGGGCGGCUCAAUUAUACUUUAAGUCUUAGGUAAAUUGUCUGAUUAGGCAUUCUAAAAAAUUUGAGGUGAAAUGUAUAUUUUAAUUUUAUUUUUUAAAAUCAAUUUCUCUAGCUUUUGAGAUGUAAAAUUAUUAAUCAAAGUUUUUAUAUUCUAAUUUUAUUAAUAUAUCUCCCUCAAUAGACAAUAUAAUUAACCUAUUUAAUUUUUUCUAUGACAUAAUUAAUCUUAAAUAAAUUUUUAUCAAUAGCUCUUUUUUUAGAUUAAAGUUAACUUUUCUAUUUUUCACUUUUUUUUAUCCUAAUGCAUUUUUUUAGUAGACAUUUUUUUUCUAGUGAAAUAAGAUUAAUUAAACAAAUAAUUAUACUUAGAUAAUUACAAGAAAACAACCUAUGGACACAAUAAUAUUUUUAAAAAGAAACAAAAAUAACUGAAUAACAUAAUGAAACUUUAACUUUUGAUGGUUUGAGGCUUUGAGUAGCGAAAAGUAAAACAAUUAAUUUUUUUUCCCUUAAGUGAAAAUAAGGUAGAAACAGUAGUUUUUCCACAAAAACAAUGUGUUUUGUUUUAUUGAAAAAUGAUAUUAAUAGAUAAUAAUUUAAAAAAAUAUGUGGUUUCUAUAGAGUUUUAGAUGAAAUAUAUAGAGGAAAUAAAUGAGAUUAAAAUUAUUAAUUAUAAUGUUAAAAGAGAACUUUGUAAGGAUUUAGUAAUUUGUUUGUGGAAAAUAUAAUUAUAAAAUAAUAAUAAAUUAAUAAUUAAUAAAUAUAAUUUAGACCAAUAUUUUUAUAAAAGCAGUACCAACAUAUAUAAAAAAGGUGAACUAUCAAUACUAUCGAUUAUUUACAAUUAAAAGAAACAAAAUUCAACAUAACUAUGAUCUAACAAAGUCCAAUCGGGAAAAAAAAACUCAACAUAGUGCUAACAAAUAAAACACAAUAUUAUCACCAGAUCAUAAUAGAAAAACUCAAAAGUAAAUAUCUGGGAAUUUAAUGAACCAAUAAGUAAAAUAAAAUAAAAUAAGUGAAGCAAUAUUACUUGUAGAUAUUACAUACGACAGAGAAAAGCAUCCAAGUGCCCUAAAGAACUAACUCUCAAAGAGCACAAAGUUUGGAUUACAAUACACCAUAAGUGAAGCUAUAUUACGACAUCCGUAAUAAUCUAAUACCCUCCUUGAGGAUUUGAUGGUCCUUAACAUAUAUGCCACUGAAGUACUAUUAAUAGUCAAAGAGUACAUCUAUCCAUUCAAUGAAGGAUUCGGUUCCAGUGUUCGCGUCACUGCCACCCUCCAUGUAAACUCCUUCAUCUGACUUUGAUGUGAAGAAGUCAGGAGUGGUCUCUACAGUUUCCUCAGGAGAGUAUUCAGUCUGAAAAUCCCUCCGUGAAUUGAACUGGCCAACGACCUGCUCACCGUCCAAUUGAGAAUUCAAUAAACCGCUACCAUAACUAGAACCAUUAUAAUCUGAUGAUUCCUGUUCUGGAUAAUCUGAUGACUGCAGAGCCCAGACAGAGGCGUCAUUCCGUGCAUCAUAGCCAUCACCCCGUCGAUUGAGUUCUGCAAGCCGUCGAGUUUCUGCCUCAACAGAAUCUUCGACGAUUUUUUCUGCAACAUGAUUUCUGUAAUAAGAAAUCGAAUGGUCCCUUACCUGAAGUUCAGGGACCAAAACAAUAUUUCCUGCAAUAGAAACCAAAUCUACUUUCUCUGCAAC
rnacentral:lncRNA from 1 species